UAGUACUUUCAUAUAAGAUAAAAGAUUAGUGUCUUCCAUGCAUUUUGAGCAAAACACUGAAAUGCUCUGAAUGAAUUUCUACAGAUCUACUUUGUCUAUCUUGAUUAACUCCAAAACACCUUUAGGCCCUACUCUAUGCAAUUGAAGAAGAAACAAUUUGUGAUUCUUUUUGACGAUUUUGCCAGUAACUUUAUUGAUAAUGGGAACAAAUACACUUCUAUUUUGUAACAUGCACUUGCUCCUUUAUUUUUUUGGUUUCCCCUUCCUCAAGAACUAUCC
rnacentral:lncRNA from 1 species